rnacentral:rRNA from 1 species
GGCGCCAGCAGUGGAGUAUGUGGUUUAUUCGAAGCAACGCGAAGAACCUUACCAGGUCUUGACAUCCAACUAACGAAGUAGAGAUACAUUAGGUGCCCUUCGGGGAAAGUUGAGACAGGUGGUGCAUGGUUGUCGUCAGCUCGUGUCGUGAGAUGUUGGGUUAAGUCCCGCAACGAGCGCAACCCUUGCUAUUAGUUGCUACGCAAGAGCACUCUAAUAGGACUGCCGUUGACAAAACGGAGGAAGGUGGGGACGACGUCAAAUCAUCAUGCCCCUUAUGACCUGGGCUACACACGUACUACAAUGGAUGUUAACAGAGGGAAGCAAGACAGCGAUGUGGAGCAAACCCCUAAAAACAUUCUCAGUUCAGAUUGCAGGCUGCAACCCGCCUGCAUGAAGAUGGAAUUGCUAGUAAUCGCGGAUCAGCAUGCCGCGGUGAAUACGUUCCCGGGCCUUGUACACACCGCCCGU